GGGCAAUCGUGAGUGAAAGCAAGAAAGGACAAUAGAUGUGUUUAUGAAUUUGUUUAUUUAUUGCAAGGAGUUAAAAAGAAAAGGAAAGACAAAUGCUCACAAAAACUGGAAAUGGUACUGGCAAUACCUUUGAAAUCAGUUGUCCUUCACGCUUCAGUCAACAAGAGCUUUUAGUCAAGGCAUUCUGUAGCAAAUGUUCAGCAUCUAACUGAGGGGAGAGGAGAGGAGAGGAGAGCCUUCCUACCCUGAUUGUUUUUCACGACAACCUGCCUGCUGCUCCUACCUGGGAUGGGAGCUCUUACCCAUGUACCCAAUCCACACUUACAUGACAACCAUAGACGCCUGGGCCCAGAGAGGCCAUCAGCAAAGGAUGCACUAGCUUCCAAAGCACAUUCUGUGCGCCUGAAGCCAGAGCAGCUUCAGCAGGGCUGCAUCCUCCUCCUGCUCCUUUGUGGCCAAUGGGAGGGCGGCUGCUGAUGUAAAACGUUUUCCCCCCCCAGUCUUCUGGCAGCACAAAACAUACUGAGAAGGCCUAC